rnacentral:rRNA from 1 species
AUUGAACGCUGGCGGCAGGCCUAACACAUGCAAGUCGAGCGGAUGAAGGGAGCUUGCUCCUGGAUUCAGCGGCGGACGGGUGAGUAAUGCCUAGGAAUCUGCCUGGUAGUGGGGGAUAACGUCCGGAAACGGGCGCUAAUACCGCAUACGUCCUGAGGGAGAAAGUGGGGGAUCUUCGGACCUCACGCUAUCAGAUGAGCCUAGGUCGGAUUAGCUAGUUGGUGGGGUAAAGGCCUACCAAGGCGACGAUCCGUAACUGGUCUGAGAGGAUGAUCAGUCACACUGGAACGGAGACACGGUCCAGACUCCUACGGGAGGCAGCAGUGGGGAAUAUUGGACAAUGGGCGAAAGCCUGAUCCAGCCAUGCCGCGUGUGUGAAGAAGGUCUUCGGAUUGUAAAGCACUUUAAGUUGGGAGGAAGGGCAGUAAGUUAAUGCCUUGCUGUUUUGACGUUACCAACAGAAUAAGCACCGGCUAACUUCGUG